GCGGCGCUGCUGCCCAGCAUGGUGCUCACGUCAUUCGUGGAAAAAAGAGGUAUUUGUCCUCCAGGAAGGCAUGAGAGACGUUUGAUAAUCACAUCAAAAUUCUCUUGAACCUGGACCACCUACAGUUAUGCUGUUCACCUGUGCAGAUCCUUUCCGUCUUUGAAGGCUUCACUCCAGCAGCAGGAGAGUCGGUCCCCCUCAUUCAGCGAGGAUUCCCCUGACAGAACGGUCCAGCAUGAUGUUUCCUGCCCUCAACAACAAGAUGCCUGUGGAUUUGUAGGGCCAGCCCAUCGGAGGCUGGGUUUCCUCUUUUGUAAAGCACGAAUAAAAGCACCUGGUUUACAGUCUCUCUGGAAGCACGGACAGGGUGUACUAGAGCACACAGCACUGACUGCCAUGCCGCAUGCAUAUGAUCCCUUUCCC